rnacentral:misc_RNA from 1 species
GAAAUGCGAUAAGUAGUGUGAAUUGCAGAAUUUAGCGAAUCAUCGAAUCUUUGAACGUACAUUGCGCCCCUUGGUAUUCCAUGGGGCAUGCCUGUUCGAGCGUCAUUUCAACCCUCAAGCACUGCUUGGUGUUGGGCGUUUGUCCCGCCUACGCGCGUGGACUCGCCUCAAAGUCAUUGGCGGCUGUUCCCCUUCGGCUCGUAAGCGCAGCACAGUCGGCGCCCGGAGCUCUGGUGGGAUGGCGUCCAGCAAGCUAUAUUUUCAGGCUUGACCUCGGAUCAGGUAGGGAUACCCGCUGAACUUAAGC